rnacentral:rRNA from 1 species
GACGAACGCUGGCGGCGUGCUUAACACAUGCAAGUCGAACGGAAAGGCCCUGCUUUUGUGGGGUGCUCGAGUGGCGAACGGGUGAGUAACACGUGAGUAACCUGCCCUUGACUUUGGGAUAACUUCAGGAAACUGGGGCUAAUACCGGAUAGGAGCUCCUGCUGCAUGGUGGGGGUUGGAAAGUUUCGGCGGUUGGGGAUGGACUCGCGGCUUAUCAGCUUGUUGGUGGGGUAGUGGCUUACCAAGGCUUUGACGGGUAGCCGGCCUGAGAGGGUGACCGGCCACAUUGGGACUGAGAUACGGCCCAGACUCCUACGGGAGGCAGCAGUGGGGAAUAUUGCACAAUGGGCGGAAGCCUGAUGCAGCCACGCCGCGUGCUGGAUGACGGCCUUCGGGUUGUAAACCGCUUUCGCCUGUGACGAAGCGUGAGUGACGGUAAUGGGUAAAGAAGCACCGGCUAACUACGUG